UACAGAGGUCCCAAGCGUUGUUCGGAUUCAUUGGGCGUAAAGGGUGCGUAGGCGGCGCGGUAAGUCGGGUGUGAAAUCUCGGAGCUUAACUCCGAAACUGCAUUCGAUACUGCCGUGCUUGAGGACUGGAGAGGAGACUGGAAUUCCCGGUGUAGAGGUGAAAUUCGUAGAUAUCGGGAGGAACACCAGUGGCGAAGGCGGCGACCUGGCCAAUCACUGACACUGAAACGCGAAAGCGUGGGGAGCAAACAGG
rnacentral:rRNA from 1 species